rnacentral:rRNA from 1 species
CGCACUGAUGACGGAGCAACGCCGCGUGAGUGAUGAAGGUUUUCGGAUCGUAAAGCUCUGUUGCCAGGGAAGAACGUCGCGGAGAGUAACUGCUCUGUGAAUGACGGUACCUGAGUUGAAAGCCCCGGCUAACUACGUGCCAGCAGCCGCGGUAAUACGUAGGGGGCAAGCGUUGUCCGGAAUUAUUGGGCGUAAAGCGCGCGCAGGCGGCCGUUUAAGUCUGGGUUUUAAGCCCGGGGCUCAACCCCGGUUCGCACUGGAAACUGGGCGGCUUGAGUGCAGGAGAGGAAAGCGGAAUUCCACGUGUAGGGGUGAAAUGCGUAGAUAUGUGGAGGAACACUGACGGCGAAGGCGGCUUUCUGGCCUGUAACUGACGCUGAGGCGCGAAAGCGUGGGGAGCAAACAGGAUUAGAUACCCUGGUAGUCCACGCCGUAAACGAUGAGUGCUAGGUGUUAGGGGUUUCGAUACCCUUGGUGCCGAAGUAAACACAAUAAGCACUCCGCCUGGGGAGUACGCUCGCAAGAGUGAAACUCAAAGGAAUUGACGGGUACCCGCACAAGCAGUGGAGUAUGUGGUUUAAACCGAAGCAACGCGAAGAACCUUACCAGGUCUUGACAUCCCGAUGAAAGCACUAGAGAUAGUGCCCCUCUUCGGAGCAUUGGAGACAGGUGGUGCAUGGUUGUCGGACUCUCAACAAGUCC